CCUACGGGUGGCAGCAGUGAGGAAUAUUGGUCAAUGGACGAGAGUCUGAACCAGCCAAGUAGCGUGAAGGAUGACUGCCCUCUGGGUUGUAAACUUCUUUUAUAUGGGAAUAAAAUGUUCCACGUGUGGGAUUUUGUAUGUACCAUAUGAAUAAGGAUCGGCUAACUCCGUGCCAGCAGCCGCGGUAAUACGGAGGAUCCGAGCGUUAUCCGGAUUUAUUGGGUUUAAAGGGAGCGUAGGUGGAUUGUUAAGUCAGUUGUGAAAGUUUGCGGCUCAACCGUAAAAUUGAAGUUGAAACUGGCAGUCUUGAGUACAGUAGAGGUGGGCGGAAUCCGUGGUGUAGCGGUGAAAUGCUUAGAUAUCACGAAGAACUCCGAUUGCGAAGGCAGUUCACUGGACUGCAACUGACACUGAGGCUCGAAAGUGUGGGUAUCAAACAGGAUUAGAUACCCUUGUAGU
rnacentral:rRNA from 1 species